GAGACAGCAGUCGCCGCGGUAACACGAAGGGGGCUAGCGUUGCUCGGAAUGACUGGGCGUAAAGGGCGCGUAGGCGGAUGGUACAGUCAGAUGUGAAAUUCCCGGGCUUAACCUGGGGGCUGCAUUUGAUACGUGCUGUCUAGAGUGAGGAAGAGGGUCGUGGAAUUCCCAGUGUAGAGGUGAAAUUCGUAGAUAUUGGGAAGAACACCGGUGGCGAAGGCGGCGACCUGGUCCUUUUACUGACGCUGAGGCGCGAAAGCGUGGGGAGCAAACAGGAUUAGAUACCCCCGUAGUCCCUGUCUCUUAUA
rnacentral:rRNA from 1 species